rnacentral:misc_RNA from 1 species
GAAGUAUAAGUCGUAACAAGGUUUCCGUAGGUGAACCUGCGGAAGGAUCAUUAUUGUAUAACCGAGGUGCGAGGGCUGUCGCUGACCCGAAAGGUCGUGCACGCCCGAGUGCCCUCACACACAUCCAUCUCACCCCUAUGUGCACCACCGCGUGGGUCCCCCUUUGGCUUGUUCGGAGGGGGGCUUACGUUUUCACACAAACUUUGUAUGCAGUGUAGAAUGUAUUUUUUGUUUUUGCGAUCACGCAAUCAAUACAACUUUCAACAACGGAUCUCUUGGCUCUC